GAUGAUUCAUAAUAACUUUGCAAAUCGCGGGCCAAUGUCUGCGAUGAUACAAACGAGUUUCUGACCUAUCAACUUUAGAUGGCAGGAUAGGGGCUUGCCAUGGUGACAACGGGUGACGGGGAAUUAGGGUUCGAUUCCGGGAGAGGGGAGCCUGAGAAAACGGGCUACCACUUCCAAGGAAGGCAGCAGGCGCGCAAAUUACCCAAUACUGAUUCGGUGAGGUAGUGACAAGAAAUACCAAUAUAGGACCCAACGGGGUACUAUGUUUGGAAUGAGUACAAUUUAAAACCUUAACGAGGAACAAUUGGAGGGCAAGUCUGGUGCCAGCAGCCGCGGUAAUUCCAGCUCCAAUAGUGUAUAUUAAAGUUGCUGCGGUUAAAAAGCUCGUAGUUGGAUUUCGGAGUUGUUAUCUGAACCUUCUCGCCCU
rnacentral:rRNA from 1 species